rnacentral:lncRNA from 1 species
UAGAGAGUAGGAAUGGGAGAUUUGUGGAGUGUGUAUGGUGGGAAUUACUUAUAGGUUCCUAUAAAUUAGUGGUUGGCAAGAGGAAUUUGUUGUUGUGUGCUUGUUAUAUAUUACUAUGUGUCCUAUAGGGGGAUGCCGACAUUGGUUGUCACUACUAGAGGGGUUAGGUUUGGAAAAUUAUAUAGUAGGAAAGGGAGAUCCGUGAAGUGUGUAUGGUGGGAAUUACAUAUAGGUUGUUGUAAAGUAGUGGUUGACAAGGGGAAUUU